rnacentral:rRNA from 1 species
UACGGAGGGGGCUAGCGUUGUUCGGAAUUACUGGGCGUAAAGCGCGCGUAGGCGGCUUUGUAAGUUAGAGGUGAAAGCCCGGGGCUCAACCCCGGAACUGCCUUUAAGACUGCAUCGCUUGAAUCCGGGAGAGGUGAGUGGAAUUCCGAGUGUAGAGGUGAAAUUCGUAGAUAUUGGGAAGAACACCGAUGGCGAAGGCAGCCAUCUGGACCGACACUGACGCUGAGGCGCGAAAGCGUGGGGAGCAAACAGG